UACGUAGGAGACGAGCGUUGUCCGGAAUUACUGGGCGUAAAGCGCGUGUAGGCGGAUGAGCAAGUCUGCUGUGAAAGCUCCUGGCUUAACCGGGAGUGGUCGGUGGAAACUGCUCGUCUGGAGGACGGUAGAGGUAGGUGGAAUUCCCGGUGUAGUGGUGAAAUGCGUAGAGAUCGGGAGGAACACCUGUGGCGAAGGCGGCCUACUGGGCCGGACCUGACGCUGAGACGCGAAGGCGUGGGGAGCGAACGGG
rnacentral:rRNA from 1 species